GAUAUGUGUGUGCAUGUAUGACGUGUGUGUGUGUGAGUGUGUGUGUGUGUGUGCGCGUGUGUAAGCACAUGUGUCAUUCUCUCUCCAGGGCUGACCAUGGGCUCUGCUUGGCAGAGAAAACACAAUGCUAAGGGGAGCCCAAGAUGCCAAUGUUUGCAGUGCCUCCUGAUAGGCUGAGCUUGGACAAUGGGCUUUGUCCUCAACAGCCUCACUUUCCCCAGAAAUAAAAGGGGCUUUCCCAGGACAGUUGAUACUCCAUUUCUAUAGGAUUUCUAUCCUUGGGUUCAACCAGUUGAAGUUCAAACAAAACAAAACAAAACAAACAAACAAAACUCCUCAGAAGCAGACACUGUGUCUGUAUUGGACACACAGACGUCUUAGCUUGUUCCUGACACAGUAUGAUGCCACGACUAUGUGCACGGCAUGCGCUGUAAGUCACCUGGGGCAUCUGAAGUUGGUGGAGGAGAUGUGCAGGUGACAUGAGAACGCCACGCCCUCUAUGGUCCCAGCAACCCCGAUGACUCUGUAUAUAUCACUAAAGAGGCUGCUAAGGUGGCCGACGAGAACAGUCUCACUGCAGACUGAAUGCUCAGUCCCGAGCCACCAUCUCCAUCAUCAACACCAACAUUUAAUGAGGUAGAAUAGAAACACUAAUCUCGGGCAAACCACUGUGGUGAGGGUCAAGUACACUGUAAGAGGCACAGCCCUGCCCAGUGUGUUCUGCCCCACUAAAAGCUGGACAGUGCCGGGCUUGUAGCAUGUGGCAUCUCCUGUAACGAAGCCAGCCAGGGUUGGGCAGGAUCUCUGUGUCUCCCCUUUCCUACUGUGCCAGCACUGGCUGGAGAGGACAGAGAUCCCUGGGAGGCAGGGCGUCCCCUAGGGACACUUGUGAUGCAGUGUCACUGCCUUUUCUGAUCAUCUUCAGAAGUGCCACCCUGGGGCCUCAGGGCCUCUGGGAUAUAGAGGUUCCUAGGCUUUCAGUUCUGAAAACCUCCCUCUAUCAGCUCCUCUGCCACACCCGAGGGAGGAACAGUGUCAUAACCCCCAACCGGAAUGAGGCCUCCUGGACAUCGUUUGUGAAACGAACACAAAAACGUGGGGGUGGGGGUGCAGGAGAGUGUGGGGGCCAGGUUCUCAGAAGUCCCAGGAAGUGGAAGAGUGCGUGCUGAUGGAGGAGUCAGGGGGGGGGGACACUCCAGGUGGGGGGCACCAGCCGGCGCAUGGUAGGAGGUGGUGGCUGAGAACUGGCCUUGUAGGGAGAGAGAUGAAAGGCUUGGGAGGUCCUGGUGGGGGGGCUGUAGGUGGAAUGUGGCCGAAGGCCUUGAGAUUCUAGGCUGAGGCGUGAGUCUGAUGACAUCUAUGGAAAACAAUUUUAUUUGCUUUUCGAAGAGCACUUGAAUAGUUCAGAUUCCUGCCCAAGGUUGCUGGCCUCCAUGCUUAACAAUCUGGUCAAAUGGAAACUUCCAGCGACUGGUGGGUGGGAGUGGGAAGGGAGGCGGGUAGGUUGACCAGUAAGCCUCAGGAACCUUGGCUUUUAAAUCCUGACUUCUGUAGGGAAAACGCAGCUCCUGCCUACCGGAUGGCUCCAUUGCCGGCUGCCCAGCUGCCCCCCUCCUCCUGGCAAUCACCCAACUCCUCACCAGGGGCUGUGGCUCACGCUCACCCUUCCCCAGAUCCACCUUUCAGAGGGGAUCUGAAUAACCAAUCUGUUCCUCUAUGCCUAGAAGCCUUCACGCCUCCCAUUGCGAAGGGUGAAGAUGCUCUAUGGUGUGACAGCUUAGUCCCGCCAGUGACAACUGAGACUCAGUUCAGGGGUGCUGGGCAGGAUGGAGCCCCCCCACUCUUCUCUUGGAUAAAUUCCUAGUCUCCCCAAUUUUGGCUCAGUAUAGGAAUGAGUUCUGGGAGCCAGCUCAAGGUAGCCUCCAAGCUCCUACUUCCUGAAGUGGCCUCUUCCAGCUUCCGACCUAAUUCUAUGGGGGAAUCUUGAGUCCCCCAGUCAAUAGAUUUGAAGUGUAAUUUUAAUGUAUCGCCAUUAUUGUGCAUGUGGAUGAUGUGUGGGAGUAUACACAUGGAGGUCAGGGGACAAGUCUGUGGAGUAGAGUAGGUUCCAGUGACCCAACUCAGGUCCUUAGGUUUGCAUAAGAAUACGCUUUGCUCACUGAAGCGUCUAUUCCUAACCAUCAAUAAUUUUAACCAAAAAGCUGUGGCUUUCAUGUACGUGAGGCUUUAAAACAUGCCCUACAGAGAUGGGCAGAUGACAGGGUAGGGUGCCUAGACUGGAGGUGUCCACAGGUCCUGGGCUUCGACUCUGCUUCCCCUGCUCCCUUUUAUGGACCUUAUGGGUGUUUAGCUUCUUGGUGCUCCAGUUUCCCCCAGAGACUUCAAGGGGGUUCAUGACAAGUUUUGAGGCAAUCAUUGGAAGAUGCUAACCUGGGCGUAUGAGACUAGCGUAUGUAGAGUUACAAUACCCAGAAAGCACCAUAAGGAAUAGUAUGUUAAAAACAAGUGGAGUGUCUGGGCAACUCUUGAUUUCAUAUCAUAAACCCCCACCAGGUGAGUAGCUAUCAAAGCCUACAGGGGCUCGGAAGUCAAGAGCCAGGGCAACCGACAGUCACAUCUGGGAGGUGGGUACCUCUGAAUAUCCAUGGGACGCCUUUUUUCCCCAUUGUCACCAGCCCAGCCAAAGCUCAGGAGGUCACACACAAACCCACCUCCCUCUAACUCUGCAGGGCCAGGAUGAGCACCUCACAUCACCAGCAGUCACAGGCCAGGGCUACACCAUAAUCUCAUUUCCUUGAUUCAUGUUCAUCCCCAUGGUGAGAGGAACCAGUUGACCCUCUGUGGUCACAAAGCCACCAGACAGGAUCAGUGGCUUCCCUGAAAGAGAAUGCACUCCCCUUCAGUUUUUGUCCAACCUCUAUGCUUCCUGGGCAGGGAUGCCUCCAUAAAGAAAGAAGCCUAGUGGGACAAAGCAACCAUUUCCAGUCUGCAACGUUAAGUCUUAGGCCUGCCUGGACCCCUGACAAGUCAGGACCACUGUAAGGAAGCACAAGAAGGGAGGGACUUCGGACUCUCACCAACAGCAACAAGCAGCCAGCGGGCCAGGUUUGAGUCUCCUUAGCCCUCUUCCUUCCUCCCAGGACCACAGCAUCCAGGAGGUAGGAAGAGGAAGUCCCUGAGCAGGGAGGAGUGCCAUGGGGAACACACUGUACUCUGACACUGACAGCCCUGCCCUGGGUAAACAGUGGGCAAAGUCCACCGCCUGGGCUUGCUUCGGCGGCCCAGCCAGCUACACAGCCUUUAAAGGCCAAGCUCCGACAUCAAAAGUCAUUUGUAUGCGAUCAUGCCUCAGUGCAGAAGGCACAUCUUCACUGGGCAGAGCUGACUAAGGCUUCCACAAGUGUGACAGGGGAAACACAGAGGCACCAAGAGGCAGGGUUCACAGGUGACAAAGUCCACAGGCUAAGUACUCUCUAGCCAGGCCAACCUGUUCAGUCUUCAGAAAGCACCAGGUCUGUCGUGUGUCCUCCCUUUCCCGGCCCUCAUUAUCUCGCUCCACCGAGCACCACUGUUUCCUCAGAUCACCUCCCACUACUCCCCUGUGGUUUUGCAAUGACUUGUAUUAGAUGUUCAAAUAACAUGAAGACAGUUUAAAGUAGACAGGAGGACCAUGCAUGACGACACUCAACUUUGCUCAGGAAGACAGCCUGGGCUACAUAGUAAGACCUUGUAAGACUGUGUCUUGGAAAACAAAACCACAAAAGCAAGAGGCUGGAGUGGGAAGAUGGUUCAGCUCUAGCAGAGAACCCAGGUUCACUUCCUGGCAUCACAUGGAGGCUUACAAGCCUCUGUAACUCCAAUUCCAAGGGAUUACCAUACCUUCUUCUAGCCUCCGAGGGUACCAUGUAUGCCCAUAGUGCACAGAAACACAUGUAGAGAAGCAUUCAUACGCACAAAAUAAAUCUUUACAGAAAAAAACAAAAAUGUGCAGAAAAGGAUUAUAGGCAGUCUUUAUGCAAAUUAUAUGUGUAUUUAUGCAAAUCUGCAAUUGUACUGAAAUAUCAGGACCUCUGUGGUGAGGGUCCCAGAAACAAAUUCCCAAGGACGCCAGGGGAAUAACUGCAGCGUAGCUCGUUUGCUCGUGUCCACAGCCGGCAGACACAGAUGCACUGUAGAGAGAGCAGCUUUAGGAGCGCACAGCCAAAGCCCAAAUGCUGUUGGCUAAGCAAUUACAGAGCUGUGGCUCGACCUAGCCUGGCCUCUGAGCCCCUGCUUGCUCACUUCACUAUAGGCAUGGCAGCCUUUUGGUUCUUCAGACCCCCAAGCCAUCUCUGCCUCCCUUGGGGCCUUAGCACCUGCAGCUGUGUCUGAAAGCCACCUGCCUGCACACCUGCACCUUGCUGCUGUCACAGGUGCACGCUGCUGCCACCCACCCGGAACACGUCGGUCUGCAGAGUGGCCUCCAUCCCAGAGGAGAGCACAGCCUGCAGAGGCUGGCAGAUGCCUGUCUGGUGCGCUGUGCUUCAGGGUGUGUCUCUUCUCCCGGCACGCUCCCAUCCCACCUCUAGUUCAUGAGUAAUCCUUGGGACACACUAAGAAGAUGCUCCCCAUGGUCACAGUCACCUGCUGGGGACUUGGGGGGCUUCUGAUCACCCCUACAUGGUCUGUUACCAUGGAAAGCAGACAAAACUUUUCCAGAGCUGGAAAUGAAGUUUGAGUCUGGUCUACUCUCACUCCUUUGACGCAGGGAGGCUCAGUAACUUGCCUAGGGUCACACAACAAAACAGUGUCCUGACUCUGGGUCUUUUAUGUCUUAUCUGGUGCUCUCUCUAUAGGUCCAGGAAGGGCUCCAGGGUUAAAAUCAAUGUCAGAGUGACAGGGGAACAGAUGCUCCCACACCAGCGGCAGACGGGCAGCUACAUCCAGACAUGACAUAAGAGGUGGUGGCCCCAGCUUCUCAGCACUGGGGGGCUGCCUCACUUGGUCACUGUGGGCUCAUCGCUCUAUCUCUCACUGCCUCAGUUUCCCCCAUGAAACAGGGGCUGUUUGAUGACAAAGGCAGUACGAUUCAGCUGCAGCCUAUUUUUAGCUUCCUAUUGUCUCGUGGCUGAGAAGGAAGCA
rnacentral:sRNA from 1 species